UUAUUCAACAAAUGGGUGUCUUAAUGGAUAUGUCAUAGAAUUGUUAAGUGCACACUAUUAAAGGAUAAUGUUUUGUUUUAUAAAUGGUAACCAGUUGGUCAUACUAUAACAAUGAGAAUGCUAGAGCUGUGUUGCUUAAAAAUAUAAAUUGCAGAAGAACUCAUAACAUGGAAAGACAAUAAUCUGCGUUAACAAAUCAACUGGCGUUCUGUAAUAUAAUUUCAGGUGAAACGAAUCAGUGAAGUGGCUCAGGGUAGCAAGAUAUUGGCCGCACACACUGACAGUCCUGGUGUAAGCAUCUGCUUCUGAAUAUUUCAAUUUCAUUUGGUAGCCCUAUCGUACACAUUUGUUUUCCCCUGGUGGUUUUCUGGUAGCCAACAUAAAGCUGGUGGAAACUCUAGGCUACAAGCAGAUGAGUUGAUUCCGAUGGAUUCUACUGUGAGUGGAUAUGCCACUACUUCACUAUUCUCUAAAGCUGUUUGGGUUUCGAUUAAUCCAUUGCUUAGUACAGGAUACCAAUCCCCUUUAAAGUUAGAUGAAGUGCCUUUGCUUCCACCUGAUUUCCAAGCUGUAAGAACGUCAGAGUUUUUACAAAAAAAUUUCCCUAAGCCAGGUGAAAAUAUGAAGUAUCUUGUAUAAAUAACAUUGAUCUGAUGUUUCAGGAAAGACGUAAUAAUUAGUUUCCUUGCGAUAGUGCAGUUGUCUGAUAUAUAUGUCGGAACAACUCUAAUCCGAAGUUUCAUUGCUACUGCUUCUGCGGAUAGAACAAAACUUUGAGCCCAAUUCAAAGUAUGACAUCUUUUCUGCUCUACGUCCUUAUUUUUGACAUAUUCUGUGCUAUGUAAACUUACAAAUUGAAAAUAGCGGUAAAUAACAAUUUUAUUUUUUCUUAUGACAAGUGAAUCCGCAGCGCUGCACCACCCGCCCAGGUUAAAUUCCCACUGAUGUGUCGACUAAUUCUACAUCCAACCUUUUCGGCAAACAGGAAGCGUCUUCAUUUCUCUGCAAUAUUUACAAGAGCCAGUCAACAGUGUUCUGCAGAAGAUUUAGUACCUUGGAAGUUACCAACCACCUUAAGAACCCAGGAUACAUGGAA
rnacentral:lncRNA from 1 species